rnacentral:rRNA from 1 species
GCCUCCCUCCGUCCGCCACUCAGACUACCUACGGGAGGCAGCAGUGGGGAAUCGUUGCGCAAUGGACGAAAGUCUAGACGCAGCGACGCCGCGUGGGUGAGUGAAGGCCUUCGGGUUGUAAAGGCCCUAGUCGGGGAGAGGACGAAUAAGUAGGAGCUAAUACCUCCGAUGAUGACGGUAUCUCCUUAGCAAGCACCGGCUAACUCUGUGCCAGCAGCCGCGGUAAUAC